UAGAGGUACGAGAGAGGGAAAGCGCCACAGGAAAGCGGGGCCCUGGGAGGCCCAGCCUUGGGACAGGAGCCAGACAGGAAGCCUUCCAAUCAGGGAGGGGCCCGAGUUCCAUCCCGGGGGGGCAGGGGCCCCAGAGGGUGACUGUAGGCUCUGAUUCGCACCGCUCCUGCUGCAGCCCCCAAGUCAACUGGGGCCGGGGCACCGUGUGCCCCACGCCCAGCAGCAGGCCAUGCGGCUUGCAUUACGGACCCUCAAAUCACUCGGGCGUCUUGGGCCUGCCCACAUCCGUACAGAAUAAAGUGCUUCGUUUAUUGAUGAUUAAAAUGUGUCCAACCCCCUGCCCCGGCGCCGAGGGCCUCACAAGGAGGUCGGUGGGGGUUCUAACCCCCUCAGCCCCUUAGGCCGAUGGGGCCCAGUCACGCCCCCGUCACCCGCCCUGGGCUCAGGCCUGUUCCCAC